UACGAAGGGGGCUAGCGUUGCUCGGAAUCACUGGGCGUAAAGGGUGCGUAGGCGGGUCUUUAAGUCAGGGGUGAAAUCCUGGAGCUCAACUCCAGAACUGCCUUUGAUACUGAGGGUCUUGAGUUCGGGAGAGGUGAGUGGAACUGCGAGUGUAGAGGUGAAAUUCGUAGAUAUUCGCAAGAACACCCGUGGCGAAGGCGGCUCUCUGGGACGGUACUGACGCUGAGACGCGAAAGCGUGGGGAGCGAACAGG
rnacentral:rRNA from 1 species